AGGAAAAAAGAAGACAACACAGCGGAUCAACACGCCGUCUAUUCCUUCAUGGGGAGGCAACUCCCCUGCUGAGCCACCGCCUCCUCUCCCCUUCCCUCACAGCACCUUUUCUCCGCCGUCUUCCUUGCGCCUUUGACAGUCGUGCCCGGAGGAGGUCGUCACCGGCGCCCGCAUCCUCGGCUCCCGCCGCCGAUUUGCCCCGCAGACCUUCCCUUCUUCCCCUACUGCCGCUAGCGGCGACCCCAAGUGCGACCGUCGAUUGGCGGGCGAGGAAGAGGACCGCGCCCAAAUCGCCUCCAUUGUGAUUCGCGUCCACCUCCAACGACCGGCAGGACCCGUGAUAUGGCGACUCCCAGGGCGCUGCCGGAGGGUCCGACGAGGAAAUCGACCCGAGUAAAAAUCUUUAGAGGUCCAGUGCUCCAACAACUCUAUCAUCCAAUUUUCUGACCGGUACCAAGGUAAAGAUUGCUGGUGGAGCAGAUGGAGAGGACAGAGUCAAGCUGUGUGCUCUGAGAAAAAUGGAUGGUUGAUUUGUGGAAUUUAUGAUAGAUUUAAUGGACGUGAUGCAGCUGAUUUUCUAGCAGUAACUCUAUAUGAUAACAUAGUAUAUUACCUGUACUUGUUAGAGUGUCGUAUCAAGCAACAAGAUGUCCUAUAUAGCACAUCAGAGGACUCCCUUAAUGGGGUUAAAAGUUAAUUCGCAUUAGCCAUGGAAAUUGCAGAGAAUGAAGAUGUAAAACUUUCUGAAAGUUUUCGAGCUGGUGUGCUGAAUUGCCUCACUUCUGCUGUUGAGCAAGCUGAGAAUGAUUUCUUAUGCAUGGUUGAACAAGAUAUGGAUGAUAGACCAGAUUUAGUUUCAGUUUGAUCUUGUGUCCUGGUUGUGCUUCUUCAGGGAACAGAUUUGUGCAUUCUAAAUCUUGGGGAUAUAUAGUAGGGUUGUGCUUGCUUCCACGCCAUGAAUACUCUGUUGCUGCUGUUACACAUUACUCUUAUGGUUAUUGUUUGUUUUUCAUGCCCAUUGGUAUUCCAAGAGUAUCUGUUAUUAUAUUCAAAUUCAUGCUCAAAUAGAAAAUAUCACGGCAAUGGAAUUCUCCUUCUGGGUGUUUUGUAUGCGCCCGAAUUGCAGGACGACUUCUACCUCAACUUCGUGGAUUGGUCUUCGAACAAUGCCCUCUCGGUCGGAUUGGGGAAUUGCAUCUAUCGGUGGAAUGCAACAGCAAGUUGCAGCAAUCAAUUUUGCUCUAGCAGCACAGGAGUCCAGCCGGAGCCUUUUGUAACUUGCCAUGGCUGACUCUUUUCCCUCAGCACAAUAAGCCCUUCGCAAUCAUGUAUCUUGUCAGUGGUUGCUGCGAUAUCCUUUUCUAUAACCUCCAGAUCACUACCAGCUUUCUCCAAUGUUUUAUAUUAAGUUACGGAGGGACUAAUUGCCAACAUAGUUCAGAUUUUCCCUUACAAUAUCAUUUCUAUCAGAAUUUGUGGUUUUAGUUCAAUGUCAUCUGUUAGAGCAAAAAACAUGAGGUUAUUCAGGUUGAGUCCCACUCAAGUUGCUUGAUUUUAGGUUCUAAUUAUGGGCCUGGACAAAUUCAAAACAGAUAGCUUGCUUAAGAGGAAUCCCACAUGGAUGAUGUAACACAGGUUCGAUUUGCAUCAAACCAACAGAGUAAACUUAUUUCUGCGGCAGUGGAAGGAUUAAUGUGUGUCUUCGACACAUAUAGUGAUGGCCACCGCAACGGCGGGCAGCAUGGCGAUCAACACUGAGUCGUUGACCAUAACCAAGGUGGGCGAAAGCGGAAGGCCAUGGAGCUGGCGCAGGUCGUCACCAACGCCCUCUUCUCGCUGCCGGCCACCAAGGGCUAUGACGGCCCCGUCGUCUGCCUCCGGCGGCCCACCGAUCGCCUACCCGGCGAGAAGCAUAUAUCAAGGAGAAGACGUGCGUCAUUGCGCCAUCGACAGGAAGAGGCUGUUGUGUUUGUGUCGAAUAUUUUCUACUAGUUGGGUUACGUUUGGACUUGGUGUUGUAGUGUGGGUAGGAUACGUGUAGUGAUGCGGAGCAUCCUAUGGACAUCACCAUGUCAAGAGUCCGUUCGGCGAGUGACACGGGCGGCAUCUACUUCACAUACCCAAAGGUGAAUCAUCUCCUUUACACGUGUUCACUUGACACCUUCGAGGAUGGUAUACUACUUGACACUCCACUCAUGUGUAUGCAUAGGUAUUGUCGGAACACUACGGACGACGAGGAGGAGUGCAAGCGUCAAGGAACAACUACACCAUCCGUGAGGGAAGCCUGGAAGCGGAGACGAAAUAAACGGAGCUGCUGGAAGCUACAGUGGCCGGAUAUCUGGGCCAGAGGCCGGACAUCCGGCGCAUGCGCCGAAGAGCUUCAGUAGCCGGACAUCCGGCCGACCCCCGGACAUCCGGCGCCUGUCAACAGGCCGGACAUCCGGUAUCGCCCCGGAAAUCCAGACAACGGCUAUCCAUAGAAGAGCAAAACGGCCUGUUCUAGGUCGGACAUCCGGCCAGUGCCCCGGACAUCCGGUGUCUCACGAACGGCCGGACAUCCGGCCCCCAGCCCGGACAUCCGGCGCCUACCUGCGCGUAGAGUUGGGCCAGAGGCCCAUGUAUCUCUUUCCCACUUACCCCUUCGUGGCUUAGACUAUAUAUACUACCCCUCCUCCUAGUUAGGGUUAGCGUUGGUUUAGCUCAUUUGAGAGAUAGAGCUAUGCUCAUCCAUAUCGGAUCUCCUCCGUGCGAGAGACCGUGGCCUCUUCGGGGAAGAUCCCUUUGGAUUCAAGCCCCCUUUCUAAGGGAAGGUCCCCCCGUGGAUU